rnacentral:rRNA from 1 species
CACGCUGUAAACGAUGAGUGCUAGGUGUUGGGUAGCGAUAUUCAGUGCCGAAGUAAACACAAUAAGCACUCCGCCUGGGGAGUACGGUCGCAAGACUAAAACUCAAAGGAAUUGACGGGGACCCGCACAAGCAGCGGAGCAUGUGGUUUAAUUCGAAGCAACGCGAAGAACCUUACCAAGGCUUGACAUCCCCUUGACCGGCACAGAGAUGUGCCCUCUCCUUCGGGAGCAAGGGUGACAGGUGG